UACGGAGGGUCCAAGCGUUAUCCGGAAUCAUUGGGUUUAAAGGGUCCGUAGGCGGUUUAGUAAGUCAGUGGUGAAAGCCCAUCGCUCAACGGUGGAACGGCCAUUGAUACUGCUAAACUUGAAUUAUUAGGAAGUAACUAGAAUAUGUAGUGUAGCGGUGAAAUGCUUAGAUAUUACAUGGAAUACCAAUUGCGAAGGCAGGUUACUACUAAUUGAUUGACGCUGAUGGACGAAAGCGUGGGUAGCGAACAGG
rnacentral:rRNA from 1 species